UGAGGAAUAUUGGACAAUGGGCGCAAGCCUGAUCCAGCCAUGCCGCGUGCAGGAAGAAGCAUCUAUGGUGUGUAAACUGCUUUUGUACGGGAAGAAACACUCCUUCGUGAAGGAGCUUGACGGUACCGUAAGAAUAAGGAUCGGCUAACUCCGUGCCAGCAGCCGCGGUAAUACGGAGGAUCCAAGCGUUAUCCGGAAUCAUUGGGUUUAAAGGGUCCGUAGGCGGUUUAGUAUGUCAGUGGUGAAAGCCCAUCGCUCAACGAUGGAACGGCCAUUGAUACUGCUAGACUUGACUUAUUAGGAAGUAACUAGAAUAUGUAGUGUAGCGGUGAUAUGCUUAGAUAUUACAUGGAAUACCAAUUGCGAAGGCAGGUUACUACUAAUGGAUUGAAGCUGAUGGACGAGAGCGUGGGGAGCGGAC
rnacentral:rRNA from 1 species